rnacentral:rRNA from 1 species
UGUGCCUACGGGGCGCAGCAGUGAGGAAUAUUGGUCAAUGGGAGAGAUCCUGAACCAGCCAAGCCGCGUGAAGGAAGAAGGCGCCAAGCGUCGUAAACUUCUUUUGUCGGGGAACAAAGGGCGCCACGUGUGGCGUUGUGAGUGUACCCGAAGAAAAAGCAUCGGCUAACUCCGUGCAAGCAGCCGCGGUAAUACGGAGGAUGCGAGCGUUAUCCGGAUUUAUUGGGUUUAAAGGGUGCGUAGGUGGUCCGGAAAGUCAGCGGUAAAAGCCCGGGGAUCAACCCAGGUGAGCUGUUGAUAUUGGG